rnacentral:lncRNA from 1 species
AAGGGUGCAUAAUAUAUAUCCUAAAAGCCACAAAAAUUCUAAAAAAAAUUUGGAUAGAUUCGAUGCAAAAUUGAAAGAGUUUUGGAUUUCUAAAACUCUAUCUCAUAGAAUUCGAAAUCCAAACUUAUUCCUUUUUGAUUUGAUCCAAACCACCUUCCAUGUAAGAAAGAAGAGAGGAGACCUUUUGUGAAUGUGAGAG